rnacentral:rRNA from 1 species
CUUACCAGGUCUUGACAUCCCGAUGCUAUUUCUAGAGAUAGAAAGUUACUUCGGUACAUCGGUGACAGGUGGUGCAUGGUUGUCGUCAGCUCGUGUCGUGAGAUGUUGGGUUAAGUCCCGCAACGAGCGCAACCCCUAUUGUUAGUUGCCAUCAUUCAGUUGGGCACUCUAGCGAGACUGCCGGUAAUAAACCGGAGGAAGGUGGGGAUGACGUCAAAUCAUCAUGCCCCUUAUGACCUGGGCUACACACGUGCUACAAUGGUUGGUACAACGAGUUGCAAGUCGGUGACGGCAAGCUAAUCUCUUAAAGCCAAUCUCAGUUCGGAUUGUAGGCUGCAACUCGCCUACAUGAAGUCGGAAUCGCUAGUAAUCGCGGAUCAGCACGCCGCGGUGAAUACGUUCCCGGGCCUUGUACACACCGCCCGUCACACCACGAGAGUUUGUAACAC